AGGACGAACGCUGGCGGCGUGCUUAACACAUGCAAGUCGAACGGUGAAGCCCUUUCGGGGUGGAUCAGUGGCGAACGGGUGAGUAACACGUGAGCAACCUGCCCUUGACUCUGGGAUAACUUCGGGAAACCGGAGCUAAUACCGGAUAUGACACGCGGAGGCAUCUCCUGUGUGUGGAAAGAUUUAUUGGUCAAGGAUGGGCUCGCGGCCUAUCAGCUAGUUGGUGGGGUAAUGGCCUACCAAGGCGACGACGGGUA
rnacentral:rRNA from 1 species